CGAACGGACCCUUCGGGGUUAGUGGCGGACGGGUGAGUAACACGUGGGAACGUGCCUUUAGGUUCGGAACAACACAGGGAAACUUGUGCUAAUACCGGAUGUGCCCUUCGGGGGAAAGAUUUAUCGCCUUAGAGCGGCCCGCGUCUGAUUAGCUAGUUGGUGGGGUAAAGGCCUACCAAGGCGACGAUCAGUAGCUGGUCUGAGAGGAUGGCCAGCCACAUUGGGACUGAGACACGGCCCAA
rnacentral:rRNA from 1 species